UAUCUACAGCAGGAGUUGAUUUUUCUUCAUUGUCUUCUCCCGAAUCUGUAAAUUCUAAAACAUCAACACAUGAUGACUCUCUGCCUCUACCUGCAUCCAACUGCUCAUCUGUUGAAGACAAUAAACAUCUCAUAUGUACUCCAGCAGUAUGAACCCAUGCCACAAAUAAUCGUCUGAAGACAACUCCCAAAGCAAAGAAAAUAAACACUUUACUUUAAAGUGUUUUCAAAUUAAAGAAACAUCUAUAUGAAAAUUUUACUUCUUUUCGCCUUUUGGGACAGCUACAAGUAAAAUUGUCAGAUAAGCCAUAUUUGUUUGAAUUUAUUCUAUAACAACUGCAUAUGCAAGGGAGGUCAAACAAAGGUCGACCACAGAAAAGUCAUUUGCACUCAAUGUUUAUUUACACGGGCCAAGUGCAUAUCGAAUGCUACAAAAACACUUUGCUUUUCCAAGAAAAGCAAUCUUACACAGAUAUGCUUAUAAUGUUUCUAAAACUCCAAGAUUUUGUCCAAAUUUGAUCAAAUGAUAAAAAACGCAAUCAUCUCGGAUGAAUGAUUCGUAAAAUUAUGUGUUCUUUCACUUGAUGUAAUGUCGAUAAAACCAGGAUUAACAUAUACUACAGACUUAGAUUGCGUCGAUGGGUUCACCAGUUCAGACAGGAAAACGAUGAUAAACUACCUUUUGCAACUGAGGCACUUUUAUUCAUGGCACGAGUCAAAAAUUGGAAACAGGUAUUAUGUUAUUAUUUCACCUCCCCUACAAUUUCAAUUUAAAGAGUUUGGUAAUAGAAGCAAGCGGCAUUUUACAUU